GUAGGGAAUAUUGCGCAAUGGACGAAAGUCUGACGCAGCGACGCCGCGUGAGUGAUGAAGGCCUUAGGGUCGUAAAGCUCUGUUGAAUGGGAAGAAAAAAAUGACGGUACCAUUCGAGGAAGGACCGGCUAACUUCGUGCCAGCAGCCGCGGUAAUACGAGGGGUCCUAGCGUUGUUCGGAAUCAUUGGGCGUGAAGGGUGUGUAGGUGGCCAUGUAAGUCAGGUGUGAAAGCCCCGGGCUCAACCCGGGAAGUGCACUUGAUACUGCGUGGCUUGAGUACCGAAGAGGGUAGUGGAAUUCCAGGUGUAGUGGUGAAAUACGUAGAUAUCUGGAGGAACACCGGUGGCGAAGGCGGCUACCUGGUCGAGUACUGACACUGAGACACGAAAGCAUGGGGAUCAAACAGGAUUAGAAACCCGGGUAGUCC
rnacentral:rRNA from 1 species